GACAACAGCAACGAUGGAGGUGAUGACAAAGGUGAUGAUGGAAACAAUGAGGGAGCCCCUGUGCCCUUGAUGAGGACCUCUGAUUAAAUGUGGCAUCUGACACUGCAUGGUGAACACAAACUAGGUCAGAGCCUCUCUUGGGAAUUAUAAUUAUUGAUUUGCAGCCACAUAGUGCAUUCUGUGACCCAAGCAAUGCUCUAAGUAAUGCCUUGACAGUUAUCAAGGAAAACACCGAUUCUUCCAGACCGGAGCAAGGAAUUGUCCACGUUGUCCGACUUGCAAGAGCUCUGAGAUCAAAGCACACGUAG
rnacentral:lncRNA from 1 species